AGUGCGCCUGGAACGGCAGCGACAGUGUCAUCAUGACUGGGGCCUACAACAAUUUCUUCCGCAUGUUCGACCGCAACAGCAAGCGGGAUGUGACCCUGGAGGCGUCGCGCGAGAGCAGCAAGCCGAGGGCCGUGCUCAAGCCCCGGCGCGUGUGCAUCGGUGGCAAGCGGCGGCGUGACGACAUCAGCGUGGACAGCUUGGACUUCGCCAAGAAGAUCCUGCACACGGCCUGGCACCCGGCGGAGAACAUCAUCGCCAUCGCUGCCACCAACAACCUCUACAUCUUCCAGGACAAGGUCAACUCCGACAUGCACUAGGGGCCCUUCACACCUGCGGCACGGGAGGGGCCGUCGUGGGGCGGAGGGCGCCUGGGCCUGCUCCCACACUGCCAGCCCCCGUGGCCCUGGCCGGCCAGGAUCUGUGUAAAGAAGGAAGAGGUCCACGGCACAAGGCCUCACACGGCCAUGGUCACCGAGCCGUCAGAGUCCGGGCUUCUUUCCAUCCACUCUGCUCCCGGUCUCGGGCUGCGGUCUUCCGCACACUAUUAAUUGUCCAUCCAGCCAGUCUUUUCAGAGGGAGCUGGAGCUGGGGGCUCCAGGGACAGAGGCAGAGGGUCACCGGGGCCAGCGGAGGGCUUGGACGUCAGUGAGUGGGUAGCUUGCGCUGCCUGGGGGCUGGUCCCGCCCCGGCUUUCUGGAUGGGGAAUUUGCACUGAUCUGUAGUUGUCCCACGGUAGGGCCCUCCUCGAGUGCUGGUCCUCCCGCCUCAUUGCCCGCCUUUGCUGAGCGGCUGUGGCACCUGGCCAGGGUGCUCAGCCUGAGGUGCAUCCGUUGGAUUCCUGCAGCCCGGUCCACGGCAGCUGCACGGUCCUCCCCCAGGGAUGCUGGCUCCUGCCCACAGCCAUCACAUGGGUGUCUGUUCCCGUCCCCUACACACCGGCUGUCCCUGGGUGCCAGCGCUGUAGUGGGAACCAGCAUGGAGGGUGAAGAAUGAUUGUCCCCGUCAUGCCUGAGAGGAAACCAAGCUCUGGGUAGACACAGCCGCCCAAGGCAGGCACCAUGGACUGUCGCCAUUGGGGGUGCUGUCCCUGCUCCGCUAAGGCGCCAGUGGCUCACAGCCCAGUGCUGAGGGGUGCCGUCUCCUCACUCGCAUCUCGACGACAAGGGAUGACACUGAGGGCGGAUGGAGAAGCUCGCCGUGUUUGGUGAUGUCAGGAUGUCCCCUCCCGAGAACUGUCACCCAGGGGCGCCUCCACUCCUUCUCCAGCCAUGCUGAACUGCCUCCAAGAGGAAAUGCAUGUCGUGACCAUUUUAGGAUGUUUUCUUUGAGGACCACACACUCAUUUGGGGGACCCUCCCCACAAACCAACACAUGGCUGCAGAGAAUGUGGUCUCCGCAGUGAGUCCUGCUUGGAGACGCUGGACUCUACCCAGUUUCAUCUGGCCCAGGAGACGGCAGCAGAAUCAGGCGGUUUGGGCCUGGGCUCCGAGAGCAGAGUGCAGGCAGGGCUGGGCCGAGCCAGGGUCCUGUCUUCACUGCGUGCACUGCAGACAUCACCAGGAAACGGGCCCGCCUGAGGGUGUCCUCGGGGGCACCCUUGGACUUGUGUGUGUGUAAAAGCACAAAACGCAUGUGCACUCACUCCUGGCCAUAUUUUACUUACACACCAGUGGGUCCAUUGAGUUUUUCUUUUUAAUCAACAUGAAUGAAGAAUGUCUGUUUAUAAUAGCGCUGUAAAAUCCAGGCGACCUGGACAGUAUUAUAUGUACAUAUCUACCUAAUUAAACUUAACAAUCACAAGAUCGGACGACUUUAUCCCCUGAGGAUGUGGUAAAUUGUACAGAAAUCUUGCUGAAGUCAAAAUCCAGCUCUGAGGGCCCUACACACUUGCCGGGGUCUUCGGUGCCAGCGUCUCCCUUUGUGAUUCCGAUGUCCAAGAGGAAACGAGUUUGAAGCGAGAAGUUCCAUCAAAUCAUAGGUUUAACAUUCACCAUCUUCAAAGUCCCGAUUUUACACAGCCUUUGGAGGGAGUCUUAACACAGUUCCUACUUCCUGACAUCUGUUUGAAACUUUGGGUACCAAACCACAAAGCGGGUUGGGUAGACAGAGGGCUCAGAAGCAAAGUGUGUCUUUGGGUGCCUGGAAGAUAACCGUGUGGAUAAUGAAAUGUGGGCAAGGAAACGUGGCGGGGGGGUGGAGAGCCAGGCGGGCGGGGCUGCGGGGUCUGGGUCGCCGCUUCCGCGUCCGCCCCUGCUCCGCUUGGGUGUGGGGCAUUCGCACCGUGGUCGUGCUGUGCUGGGUUUUGGUUAUUUCUUCCCCUUGGGCGGCUCUCUGAGGGCAGAGCCCUGGGGGGAAGGGAAGAGGGUGAAGUAGGUCCGCGCUUUGGAUUCUGUAACACUAGGUGCAUUCUUUUUUUCUCGGGUGUUUCAAUGGAUUAUCCAACUGUUGAAUAAAAUUAUAAAUAUGUUAAUACCAGCUUUUUUCCAAUAAAAUAACAAAUGUUACAUCUAACCGGAGGCCCAGAAUGCUGUUUCACGAGGCCGACCCCAGGGGGCGCAGAGCCUGUCAUGGGGCAUGGGUCACAUGCGGCUCUGCAGGGCCACCUGGUUCCCAUGGGGCUUUGCUGCCUCCUGGCCUCAGGGUCUUGAGGCCCCCCCCACCUGGUGGAGAGAAGCCAGGGCACUGGGCUGGUUUAGGAAGCCAGAGAGGCCCAGCCUCAGCUGUGCUGCCUACUGGUGGACAGGAGCAAGUGGGGAAGGGCUGUCAGCCCAGGGUCCCUGGGCCUCGCCUCUUGCACCCGAGACAUCCACACUCCGGUCCAGUCCCCAGGAUGGCUUGAGGGAGAAGGUGCUUCCUGGCUCUAACCUCUGGCCCCCUGCUUACCUCUGACCCAGAGGUGCAAACAGCACAAGACUCCUCUGCGCUGCCCGGUGACGAAUGGGACCCGGUUCUGCUGUGCUGUUGACAUGACACAUGCAGGGAAGGUGUCCUCUUGUUUACGUGUCGCAAGAUCCUCUUGGCAGGGGAAGAGGGAAGUCCUAUUGUGACCCCCCCUCAAUUUAUAGGUGGAGAAACUGAGGUUAAGAGGGAUGAAGUAAUAUUUAGGCCUAAAUUCAAAGAACUAGGAAGUGGGAGGGGGAGUCAGUCUUCAAACCACCACGGUGACAGUGCCCACACACGGUGGGAGCUUGGGACUGUGACAGACACUGUGGUCCUGGCCCCCCAAAUCCAGCUUCAGCCAGUGCCGAUGGAGCUCCGACCCAGAUUAUGCAGAUGUGUUUGGGGAAGUGCACUUUGGGACUGGUGCAUCUCCUAGAUUCCCCAGCACAGCCCCAUCUGACCCCACAAGUCCCACCUGUGUUUGGAGGGAGAGGACUGGGGUGUAACAUGGGGCCGCCAUGGCCAUUGCUGACUGAAGACGGGGUCAGGGGAACCCGGGUCCCCUAGGAGCUGGGGAAGGCCAGGAACAGAUUCUCCUGAGAGCCCCAGAAAGCUCGGCCCUGCCCCCCUUGACUUUGCCCCACAGAGACCCCUGUCAUUCUGACCUCUGGGCUGGACGAUAAUAAAUGUGUGUUCUGCUAAGCCACCGAGUUUGUAGUCCUUUGUCACAGCAGCCCUGGGGACCAAUAUCCCUAGGUACGUUCACCCUCAUCCCAUAGCUACCCCUUUAGGAGAGGGUUCUUGCCUCUGUUUACAGAUAGGGGUGCUUUAGAGUGGCCCAUGUACUUGCCCUGAGUCACAUGGCACAUGAGCUUGUAUGGCAGGGCAGGCAUGAUUUGUGUCCCUGGUGACAGCUGAGUUUCCUAGAGGGGACAAGGAUGGGUCCCCACUGGGGAGCUCCUGGCGGUGGGACUGCAGGAGGCAGGGGUGCAGGCACGGGCUGCUGCACAGCUGGGUGUUUGGGGCCCCGCUGUGCCCCACCCUGUGCGCCAGCUGUGGACGCCUGGGGAAGGUGCAGGUGGUUGCAGGAUGCAGUGCUCAAGCCUGGACUCCCUCCCUACCCUCGAGGCUGACAGACA
rnacentral:lncRNA from 1 species